CGGCAGACGGGUGAGUAACGCGUGGGAAUCUACCCUUUUCUACGGAAUAACGCAUGGAAACGUGUGCUAAUACCGUAUACGGCCGAGAGGCGAAAGAUUUAUCGGAGAAGGAUGAGCCCGCGUUGGAUUAGCUAGUUGGUGGGGUAAAGGCCUACCAAGGCGACGAUCCAUAGCUGGUCUGAGAGGAUGAUCAGCCACACUGGGACUGAGACACGGCCCAGACUCCUACGGGAGGCAGCAGUGGGGAAUAUUGGACAAUGGGCGCAAGCCUGAUCCAGCCAUGCCGCGUGUGUGAUGAAGGCCCUAGGGUUGUAAAGCACUUUCACCGGAGAAGAUAAUGACGGUAUCCGGAGAAGAAGCCCCGGCUAACUUCGUGCCAGCAGCCGCGGUAAUACGAAGGGGGCUAGCGUUGUUCGGAUUUACUGGGCGUAAAGCGCACGUAGGCGGACUAUUAAGUCAGGGGUGAAAUCCCGGGGCUCAACCCCGGAACUGCCUUUGAUACUGGUAGUCUUGAGUUCGAGAGAGGUGAGUGGAAUUCCGAGU
rnacentral:rRNA from 1 species